AGUGAACGCUGGCGGUAGGCCUAACACAUGCAAGUCGAACGGCAGCACAGUAAGAGCUUGCUCUUACGGGUGGCGAGUGGCGGACGGGUGAGGAAUACAUCGGAAUCUACUUUUUCGUGGGGGAUAACGUAGGGAAACUUACGCUAGUACCGCAUACGACCUACGGGUGAAAGCAGGGGAUCUUCGGACCUUGCGCGAUUGAAUGAGCCGAUGUCGGAUUAGCUAGUUGGCGGGGUAAAGGCCCACCAAGGCGACGAUCCGUAGCUGGUCUGAGAGGAUGAUCAGCCACACUGGAACUGAGGCACGGUCCAGACUCCUACGGGAGGCAGCAGUGGGGAAUAUUGGACAAUGGGCGCAAGCCUGAUCCAGCCAUACCGCGUGGGUGAAGAAGGCCUUCGGGUUGUAAAGCCCUUUUGUUGGGAAAGAAAAGCAGCAGGUUAAUACCCCGCUGUUCUGACGGUACCCAAAGAAUAAGCACCGGCUAACUUCGUG
rnacentral:rRNA from 1 species